UACGUAGGGUGCGAGCGUUAAUCGGAAUUACUGGGCGUAAAGCGUGCGCAGGCGGUGAUGUAAGACAGAUGUGAAAUCCCCGGGCUCAACCUGGGAACUGCAUUUGUGACUGCAUCGCUGGAGUGCGGCAGAGGGGGAUGGAAUUCCGCGUGUAGCAGUGAAAUGCGUAGAUAUGCGGAGGAACACCGAUGGCGAAGGCAAUCCCCUGGGCCUGCACUGACGCUCAUGCACGAAGCGUGG
rnacentral:rRNA from 1 species